GCACAAUUGAAUAGGCUCCUCAAGGGUGAUCGGCUCAUCCCCUCACGAAAGGGGGUGAGAGAAUGUCGACACAUGAACUUGUUUCGCUCAUGCUCCAGUUCGGGUUGUUCCUCGUAGCAGCUUUGACCUUGGUCGUGACGAUCAUGAAACAUAUGUUAGACAACCAAAACAAAAAGAAAUAGAUCGCCCUAUGAGUUGGUAGCUCCUGCGGCGAUCUAUUUCGCAAAACAGCUAUGAGCCGACACCCUUGCAGGGUAUCAGUUGUGUCAAACGACCGUAGGUGUUCGAGCACCUAUG
rnacentral:sRNA from 1 species